rnacentral:siRNA from 1 species
UUAACCAAAUGACAAACAUA